rnacentral:rRNA from 1 species
UACGUAGGUGGCAAGCGUUGUCCGGAUUUAUUGGGCGUAAAGCGAGCGCAGGUGGUUUAUUAAGUCUGGUGUAAAAGGCAGUGGCUCAGCCAUUGUAUGCAUUGGAAACUGGUAGACUUGAGUGCAGGAGAGGAGAGUGGAAUUCCAUGUGUAGCGGUGAAAUGCGUAGAUAUAUGGAGGAACACCGGUGGCGAAAGCGGCUCUCUGGCCUGUAACUGACACUGAGGCUCGAAAGCGUGGGGAGCAAACAGG